UGCGUAGGCGGUUUACUAAGUCAGAUGUGAAAGCCCCGGGCUUAACCUGGGAACUGCAUUUGAUACUGGUAGGCUAGAGUAUGAUAGAGGGGGGUAGAAUUCCUGGUGUAGCGGUGAAAUGCGUAGAUAUCAGGAGGAAUACCAGUGGCGAAGGCGGCCCCCUGGAUCAAUACUGACGCUGUGGUACGAAAGCGUGGGUAGCGAACA
rnacentral:rRNA from 1 species